rnacentral:tRNA from 1 species
GGGGAUGUCACUCAUUUGGUAGAGUGCUUGCCUAGUAUUAGCAAGGACCUGGGUUCAAUCCCCAGCACCACCA